AUGCAUAUUUACAAGAGUUUCAGAGUCUUCUUCUUGGUGGCUCUUCAAUCAGAUGAAGAAUUGAUGAAGAUAACUCUGGUUGAAGAAAUGUGCUUGAAGGAUCUCAGAGAGAAGUUGAAGGUUUUCUUAAUUUUCUGGACAACAAGGCAGCUAAUGGUUAACUAUUUUUAUGCGGGUUUUGUUUAUGUGCAGCAGAGUUGUAAUGGUUUAGCGAUAACUCUUGAGCAUGAAGGUGAAGAUUGA